rnacentral:rRNA from 1 species
GACGGAGGAGACUAGCGUUGUUCGGAAUUACUGGGCGUAAAGCGCGCGCGGGCGGUUAUGCAAGUCAGGGGUGAAAGCCCGAGGCUCAACCUCGGAACGGCCUUUGCGACUGCAUGACUAGAGACCGGGAGAGGAGAGUGGAAUUCCCAGUGUAGAGGUGAAAUUCGUAGAUAUUGGGAAGAACACCAGUGGCGAAGGCGGCUCUCUGGCCCGGACCUGACGCUGAGGCGCGAAAGCGUGGGGAGCAAACAGG